rnacentral:rRNA from 1 species
GAUGAACGCUGGCGGCGUGCCUAAUACAUGCCAGUCGAGCGAACAGACGCGGAGCUUGCUCCUCUGACGUUAGCGGCGGACGGGUGAGUAACACGUGGAUAACCUACCUAUAAGACUGGGAUAACUUCGGGAAACCGGAGCUAAUACCGGAUAAUCUAUUUAACCGCAUGGUUCAAUAGUGAAAGACGGUUUUGAUGUUACUUAUAGAUGGAUUCGCGCCGCAUUAGCUAGUUGGUAAGGUAACGGCUUACCAAGGCAACGAUGCGUAGCCGAACUGAGGGGGUGAUCGGCCACACUGGAACUGGGACACGGUCCAGACGCCUACGGGAGGGAGCAGUCGCGAACCGGACGCAAUGGUGGAAAGCAUGGCGGAGCAAGGCCGCGUGAGUGAUGAAGGUGCUGGGAUCGGAAAGACGGGUUAUUGGGGAAGAACAAAUGUGUAAGUAACUAUGCCCGUCUUGACGGUACCUAAACAGGAAGCCACGGCUAACUACGUG